rnacentral:tRNA from 1 species
AAAAAAGAAUUAGUUAAAAUAUAACCUGAAUUUGUCAAGUUCAUGUUGCCUAAAUUUGGUAUUCUUUUU